rnacentral:rRNA from 1 species
GACGAACGCUGGCGGCGUGCCUAAUACAUGCAAGUAGAACGCACAGUUUAUACCGUAGCUUGCUACACCAUAGACUGUGAGUUGCGAACGGGUGAGUAACGCGUAGGUAACCUGCCUGGUAGCGGGGGAUAACUAUUGGAAACGAUAGCUAAUACCGCAUAAUAUUGAUUAUUGCAUGAUAAUUAAUUGAAAGGUGCAAUUGCACCACUACCAGAUGGACCUGCGUUGUAUUAGCUAGUAGGUGAGGUAACGGCUCACCUAGGCGACGAUACAUAGCCGACCUGAGAGGGUGAUCGGCCACACUGGGACUGAGACACGGCCCAGACUCCUACGGGAGGCAGCAGUAGGGAAUCUUCGGCAAUGGACGAAAGUCUGACCGAGCAACGCCGCGUGAGUGAAGAAGGUUUUCGGAUCGUAAAGCUCUGUUGUAAGAGAAGAACGGGUGUGAGAGUGGAAAGUUCACACUGUGACGGCAUCUUACCAGAAAGGGACGGCUAACUACGUG